GGCACAGUGGUAGAGUGGUUAAUACGUGAGACUCGAAUUGAGGCUGCCGUUCAUUCCGUGGCCGGUUCCCGACAUCUCAUGCCUUCGGGCGCGUAGGUUCGAAUCCUGCCUGUGUCG